UAGAGUCAAGAAAGAGAGAGAGUAGAUACGACUUUCAAGCCUUUGGAAUUCUGCAGCAUUGCCUGAAGGUAGCCCUGAGGUGGGACAGAGAAUGAAUGGGAACCCAUUUAAAUCAAAGAUAAUUGACUAAAAUAAGUUUCCAAACUUAGCGUAUGGCUGAGUAAGUUAAGUGCUACAAGAGAGGGGAAGAAAAGUGAACAUAAGAGGGAAAAUUCCUCCUGUCCCCAUGGAGGGGCUCUGCAGGGCCCAUGAGUUGGGCCUUGAAGGACAGGCGGAUUUUUCACCAGAAAGAGUGAAGGUUCCUCCUUGCUGAGGGAACACAGUCAGGGACAGAUACUGGGAAGUGCAAGGCAUGCUGGGCACUCAGUAUGACUAAUGAUGGGUUAGUAGGAGGUGUGCUGCUAGACAUAAUAGGCAUGUUGUUUGGAAGAGUGGUUUAGGACAGAAUGUGGAGUUUUGCUAUCCUGCUGGAAGAAGAGAGAGCCAAAGGUUUUUGAAGACAGAUGUCUUAUGAGAAGAGCUGUGUCCUAGAAAGGUGUUUCUGGCAGCUAGGGGAAAGAGAACUUAGGCUUGGGUCAAGUCCAGAUUUAGGAAGACCAAUUAAAAGACAAACACAUCAUCUACACAACAGAUGAUGGUGGCAGGAAGGCAGGAUACAGAACAAAUUAAGUCCAUAAGUGAAAGGCACAGGGUGGCUAAGCUAUGACAGGAGAAAGUGAUUCUUGAGAGGAAUGCUUUCUUUUAAGACCAGAAAAAAAAUUAAGCUAUUUCCAGGAGAGAAGGAAAAUGAUUUUGUUUUUUUCUGUCUUAACAACACCUUUAGAUUUUCUUUUGGUGGUAUUUACAGCCUGACAAAAGCCAAUUGAUUUUUCAUGCUGGCAUGUGUUCCUGCACAGAGACCGGGGCUGAAAUAAUGGUGCAGGAAAGUGGAGUCACAGCAUUAAAAGGCAGGUGGCCCUUCUCAUAGAGUGGUGGAUCAGUAGGACUUGGGGACCUACUAGGGAGAAAAGGUAGGGAAGCCAGAGAUCUCUCCUGGAUUUCAAGUCCGAGAUAUGAGGUGGAUUGUGAUGUCACUCCUGGAGUCAGAGCCCACAGAAGGAGCAGCGGGAAGGGAGCCACGAGAAUGGAGAGUUUAGUUUUGGACAUCCCAAGUUUGAGGAGUCUGCAGACCAUCCACAGGGGUGGAGCUCAGAAGACCGUGAGGGUGGAAUUCUGUCUGCCUCAGGUGCUGGUUGAAGGUGGGGAGGAGGCAGUGGUAGGAGAGGAAAAGAGGAGGGCCUCAGGGAACGCCUGUGCUAAAGGGGUCAGUGCCAUGGGAAUGAGGAAUGGAGGGGAUCCCAGGAAGCAGAGGAGGAAACACAAGUCAGUGCCUCAGAGCCAGGGAAUAGGAUGAACAAGAACAAUCAGAAGGUGAUCUUGAGCUAAAUGAAGCAAUUGCAGCAGUUCUACAGGUCAGCUGAGGUGGCUCUUUCAAGCUCUGUGGGCUGACUGGAAAAACUGUGCUCCAUAUAUUUCAUUUUGGGACCUACACUGAAGGAGCAGUGGCUACCAAGGAGCUGGAUACAGAUGCAAAAAAACUCCUCAAAGGAUCUGUCGUGGGUGAAGAACAUUGGGUGGAAGUCGUUGCAGGUCUCACUAGCUGGAGGAAAGAGAUGGAAAAUAAGGGAAGAAGUUUUAAAACAGUGUAACACAAGAACAUAACCACAGGUAUGUGCCCCAAAGGGAGACAAGUGGAGGUAUCUUUGGUUCAGGCAAUAAUGGUGAAAAAGUAUUUUUGAAAAAGCAACCAAAGGAUGGCCCCCAUACAACUUGGAAGUUUAAGGCCAGAUAGUC